UGAACAGCUCGCUCUGUACUCGGAGGCACUGAAAUUUUUUUUUUUUUGGGGGUUUUGUUUCGUGAUUUAGUUCUAGGGUUUUGAAUUUUCUUUGAUAAAUUUUCGAUAUUUUUUAAUUUUUUUGGCCCAAUGAUGGACAACAAUGAAAUUCAUUGACCGGUUUGCUAAAGCUAAAGGGAUUUUGUUCAAUCAUUAGCCUUAACUCACCACUGCCGGCAUCAUCUCCGCCACCGCCACCUCCUUCUCUUUUUGCAUAAAUACAUACAUACACACACAUAUACGUGCAUUUUGUUUUGUGUGGUGGUGUGUAAAGGCUUUUGAAGAACGGGCCUUUAGCUCUAAGCUCCUGAUGAUUGCUUCUAAGCUAUGAGAUCUGAGGGCUUUCGCUUUCUCUUCCACAUGCACUUUAAAACCAUACAUUGACUUUACGAAAUCUUUUAAUUUUAUUUUAGUCUUUCAACUGAAUGUUGAUGAUACGUGUACCGGGUUCUUUAGCAUUUUUUAACUUCUUUAUUGAUGGAAAUCUGCAGCUUUGAAAGCGGUAUAUGAUAACUAUUCGAGUAUGAUUUGCACCUGUUUAAGGUAGUUUCUUCCUUAAUUGCAUAAUGGUGUUAAUUUACCGAACAAGUUAGAUCCAGACAUAUUACGGUUGACAAAUUCGGAUGUUGUGUUGAAUGGUCGGGCGACUUGUGGGUAUAUGAAAAUUUGUCACCUUCUUUAUUAAAAUUGCUCUUUUUUGAAAAAAAAAAAAGAAAUUUCCCCGUGAUUAUUUCUCUGUUGUGAAUUUCUAAUAGGUUCUAUGUUUAUAGCCAUUUAACUGAUAGUUUGUUAAAAGUUGGUAUGCAUUUUAACCAUUUUUUGGUAUACUCUUGCCCAAUGAUGGAAAACUCAUAGUGUGGAGUGGUAGCAUGGAUUGUCGUUUUGAGCCUUUACUUCAUUUUUUUUAUAAGUGCCAUCAAUCAUCAUAAUCAAUCUAUCAUCUUUACUUUCUUUAUCUCUCUUUCUCUCUCUUUCUAUUCUUUCUAUCUCUCUAUGGGUCUAUCUAUCUUCCUGUUACAAUGGAUAAUGAUAUGUAAGGGCUCUUAAUGAGAACCAUUUUUCUAUACCAUGAAUGACCGACUAUAGCUAUGAGAUCUGAGGGCUAUUAGUUUUUAGAAGUUUUAUGUCAUUUUUCGAUGCCUCUGAAUCUUAGAGGUGUUUUACUCUCUGACUAUUUCUCUAGUUUUGGUAUUUUAAAGGACUAAAGAACUCAAUCAGUUAAUUGAAGUGUUAAAUGAUGGCCUCUUCAUAUGUUUUAUCCUGUCACUAUUUCAUUUGUAGUCGUGCUUAUUUCCACGUUUGGUGUUAUGCUUCCAUUGCUAAAUUUUCAAAUUUUCGUUUAACAUGGAACAUUUUUUUGCAUUAGCUAUGUUUGCUUUUCUUAUUUAGGUUCCAGCUACUAUACUUCACACGUCUUUGUUUUCCCCUACUUAUAUUAUUUGAGUAUUAAUGGUUUACUUAGGAAUUGUGUGAGUUUCAAUGUAAAGCCUGCAUAUAUGGGGGUUAUUCUUUGCUUUUACAGGGUAAAGUUCUUUAAAUUCUUUUACAUCUGCCCAAAGAUGGGAACUUAUUAAAUAGGAUGGAUGCUUUAAUUUUAAUUAUGGCCUCCAUCAUCCCUUGUCAAAUUCUCCCAGCAUUACAGGUGGUUGCGGUUGUUGCUGUUGCCAUUCUUUCCAUUUCUCUAUAUAAUUGGUGCUGUGGAUGGGCUUUUAACUGAAAUCUUGAACUUCACCAUCUGUGAAUUAUGAUUUUGGUGUUCUUUUGAUCACCAUUUAAGAUGAGGGAUGGCUUUCAUUGAAAACCUUUGCCGUGAAUUGCAUGGUUUUGGGUAGGAGAUCUGAGGCCUAUGCUCAUGUAAAUUUUAUUUUUAUUACUUUUAUACAAACUGUAUGAGCUUGAACAUGGAAGCUCAUGUUGCAAUAUUUGAUAAUGGGAUUAUGGUAUCUUCAUGAAUAAUGGAUCUUAUGAAUGCCCAAUGAUGGAAAAUUGAAUUGUAUAGAGUCGCUGCAUGGUUUCUCAAUACUCACUACAUGCCACCGUUCCCUUUCUCUCUCUCUCUCUCUCGCACGCGCUUGCACUUUGUCAUCAUCUUUCUUUCGUUCUUUCUUUUCUUUGAGACUGUCAGCCAUUCCAAGUUUCUGUUUAUUGGGUGGUAUGUAAGGGUGUUGAUGAAUGCCACUAGCAUUAAACUAUAUACAAGCUGUUUGUAGCUUUGAGAUCUGAGGGCUUAUCUUUUCACCACGAAAUUAUCAAUCCAUUUGUGAAGUAAAAUUUUCAUGCUAAUGAAGUUAUAGAAAUUCUAGUUUGUAAAUUGUUUUGUGAAGCAACAGCAUUUAAAACUAAGUUUCUCCCACUGUUUUUAGAUGACCGAUCGUGAUUUAAAUUUUGUUGCUUUCAGUUUAACUGAGUUGAAAGUGAUUGCUGUUUUCCGAUAUGAAGAAAAAUUGCAGCUCUAAUGUGCCCUUGGGAGACCAGGGAAAGCUUCAGUGUUUGAACAGGGGAUAUUGCUUCUAUUGCUUUAAUUGAUAAAAUUAUUCCUUUUUUUGGU